rnacentral:lncRNA from 1 species
UAAGGGACUUUUAUCCCUUUGACACUAACGAUGGUUACUUCAUGGUGAAUAACAAAAUCUCCCCAUUAGGUAAAAUAAAAAACUCCAUCUUCAUUCAUAAAUUUAGGCAUUAUCUUGAACACCAGUUGAAUAAUCAUGGUUACGAACUUAGGGAUUCUAUUGCUGAUCAGGAUGCAAAUUAAUAGAUACUCAUAACAUAAUUUACAUAUUCCAAGCAAUAGUGAGAGAGAGAAAAAAAUCAAGUUGUGUUAAUCUAAGGGAGGUGAACGUGGUUUUCCGAACUAGAAGGAUUGUGAGUGUCUUUUGGUAAAAUAUUAGGGGAGGUGAGUGUAAUUUUUUUCUAAAUUAUAUGUAUAAACAAUGUAAAUUUUUUUCAAUAUAUCUAUUACAAUCAAACUAUGAAGUGUUGUCACAAAAAAUAACACUAAGCUCUCAUGUUUGUUUAGUUUGUAACG